rnacentral:SRP_RNA from 2 species
AGUCUAACCCACGGCAAUUGUAUUCAUGGUGAACUCCGCCAGGUCGGGAACGAAGCAACGGUAACUUUUGGUAUGAUGUGUCGUUGGGGUAGGCUGCCA